UCUCCCAUCGACACAGCACCACGAUUCCUCUAGAAACUAAAAAUUUGUUUAUUUGGCAACAUUAGAGAAGCGAGCGUUCUGGGCAACUCGUUACGCAAACACUGCUCCCCAGGAUGUUUAAUACAAUAAACGCCGGGAACUGGCAACGGAAGUCUGGGAACAAGUUUUCAGCGGCAACCCGCCAGAAGUUCAAAAUGGCGGACGUAUCAACUUUUUCAAAGACUGAUUUUAUCGCAAGGUAGCAUUGGCGACUAGCUUUUAUUUAAAUAUUGCCUAGGCGAAGCCACGAAGCCCAGUAUUCCGAGAGUUUAGUUAUGUUGGUGUUCGCAUAAGCAGCGAGGAGGUAACAGCUUAGAUCAACAGAAAUGAGAUCAUGAUUACAACGGAACCUCAGUUGAUGACGAC